GAUGAACGCUGGCGGCGUGCCUAAUACAUGCAAGUCGAACGCGCAGCGAAAGGUGCUUGCACCUUUCAAGCGAGUGGCGAACGGGUGAGUAACACGUGGAUAACCUGCCUCAAGGCUGGGGAUAACAUUUGGAAACAGAUGCUAAUACCGAAUAAAACUUAGUAUCGCAUGAUACAAAGUUAAAAGGCGCUACGGCGUCACCUAGAGAUGGAUCCGCGGUGCAUUAGUUAGUUGGUGGGGUAAAGGCUUACCAAGACGAUGAUGCAUAGCCGAGUUGGGAGACUGAUCGGCCACAUUGGGACUGAGACACGGCCCAAACUCCUACGGGAGGCUGCAGUAGGGAAUCUUCCACAAUGGGCGCAAGCCUGAUGGAGCAACGCCGCGUGUGUGAUGAAGGCUUUCGGGUCGUAAAGCACUGUUGUAUGGGAAGAAAUGCUAAAAUAGGGAAUGAUUUUAGUUUGACGGUACCAUACCAGAAAGGGACGGCUAAAUACGUGCCAGCAGCCGCGGUAA
rnacentral:rRNA from 1 species